UCCAUAUGGCGCUCGUCAGGUGCCCGCAAGCGCGGGAGAAUCGGGAAGUCGGUGCAAUUCCGGCACGUGCCCAACGCUGUGACGGGGACGGCCACGCCAGUCAUGCUCUGAAGAGAUUCGGAGCCUUGCCACUGAAUCCUCAGGCGAUUCGGGAAGGCGGCGCGGCCGGACGAACCGGAGUCAGAAGACCGGCCUGGCAAGAUGGACCGGC
rnacentral:ncRNA from 2 species